GAUGAACGCUAGCUACAGGCUUAACACAUGCAAGUCGAGGGGUAGCAGGGUAGCAAUACCGCUGACGACCGGCGCACGGGUGAGUAACACGUAUCCAACCUUCCCAUAACUCGGGGAUAGCCUUUCGAAAGAAAGAUUAAUACCCGAUAGUACUUUUUCAAGGCAUCUUGAGAAGUUAAAGAUUUAUUGGUUAUGGAUGGGGAUGCGUUCCAUUAGAUAGUUGGUGAGGUAACGGCUCACCAAGUCUUCGAUGGAUAGGGGUUCUGAGAGGAAGGUCCCCCACAUUGGUACUGAGACACGGACCAAACUCCUACGGGAGGCAGCAGUGAGGAAUAUUGGUCAAUGGGCGAAAGCCUGAUCCAGCCAUGCCGCGUGCAGGAAGAAGGCCUUCGGGUUGUAAACUGCUUUAGUCUAGGAAAAAGGGGUGCGAGGUUAAUACCCUCGUGCUUUGAUGGUACUGGAAGAAUAAGCACCGGCUAACUACGUG
rnacentral:rRNA from 1 species